GCAAAACACAUAGGUGGAACGUGACCACAACAACUUGACAAAAAGGCUCCCACUAUAAAGAAUGAACACAUGAGCAUUUCUCAUGUCGCUUCGGGCUUCUUUCCCAGCAGGUCCCAGCAGCCGCCGCAGCCCAGCACUGCGUCGGCUCCCUUGGAAGAAACCUCAGAGAGAAGUAAGUUUCUGCUAGAUUUGCAAACCGGAAUGGGGUGAAGCUUCGGAAAGAGGCCAAACAAAGAAAAUGGGUCGUUAUUAACCCACUCAAAGCCUAAGACGGACACACACACACACCCCCUCAGAGAAACUGGAAAGAGGAAAGGUGGGAAUAUUUCCCCGGCAGCACAAGAAGAGGGUACGAGAAGGGAUAACGGCGGUACUUGGAGAAAAGAGUUUUGAGUUUCUCUUGGCAGCAGAAGCCCCCUGCCCACCGUGAGGGGAAGCACCGAGGAGCCGAAGCAGAGAUGAUGGUGCAAAGAGAACUCAGUGAAAUGACUUGCUAUAGAACAGCCAUCAGAAGUAGAGCAUCUUUUCACUGAAGAAAAUGGAAAUGCAUAACUGUCACUAUAUCUGCAUUAUUCUGCAGCCAGUGCCAUUGUCAAGUUUGGGACCAGCUGGAAAAAACAAUAACAUCUUCUGCUACAGCUGGGCUGCUCUCCAUUCAAGUACUGCUCUGGAAUGGAUACCAAAUGCUACCAGCUGGAUUGUGAAACUCCAGUUUAUAAAUCAUGAUUAAAAUGAAAAAGAACUAAAAAAGUUUGUGCACAAAGAGGGAAUGUUAAGCACUGGGUUUUUAAUAAUGUAACUCAUUAGGCUUGAAACUUUUUGUGCCAUCUUAUACUGUAUUUGCAACAAAAAGAAUUAAAAAGUUGAAGAACCUGUUGAAUUUCUGAAUGCCUGAUAGCAAAGACCCCUUUGCCCUGAAAAUAUGUAAGAAGAGAGAGCUUAAUGCACGUACAGUGUCUUAUAAUGUGACUUUUGUUUGUAUAAAUGGAAGAACUAUGAUGAUUUGCAGUUUUUGCUGUUAACUGAGCAAUUGUUUGGGUGGCAACUGUCCAUUUCAGUGUGGAAUCUGGGAAAUACCCACAAAAUAUUGGGUGUUAUGCUAGGUACAUUUCUCUUCUGUGGCAAGAAAAGUGAGCUGCAGCAACAGGAAACUCCAAUAGUACGAGAAAGAAAGCAGAUAGCUCCUUGAAGAUGACAAAUCAAAAAAAAAAAAAGUAUUUCCAUGUUUAAAAAAUUCACAGGAAU